rnacentral:lncRNA from 10 species
UUUUACUGGAAGGAGAGUGCGCUGGGAGGAGGGAAGAGGGGGAGGGAGUUUCUGGUUUUGCAUGAAGCAGCAGAACAUGAUGAAGCAUUUUUCCCCCAUCUAAAGAUCCAGUCGUGCUCCAGUUUGCAGAGGGCAAGGGGCUGGUUGCAGGUGGUGCUGGGAGGAUGGAGUAGAGAUGGGGUUUCACCGUGUUAACCAGGAAUGUCUCGAUCUCCUGACCUCGUGAUCCACCCGCCUCAGCCUCCCAAAGUGUUGGGAUUACAGGCGUGAGCUACCACGCCCGGCCCUAGGCUCCACAACUCUAAGAAGCUUUGGUGAGUAAACAGGCCUGAAGAGGUGAAAUCAUUUGCCAAGCACAGAACCAGGAUUCAAAACUUUGCAGUCUGGCUCUAGAAUGCCACCCCGUCCCACCUCAGGACUGGCCCUCUCCUGGGAAUUCCUUUCUCCCUCAUCCUCCAUGUCCUUUCUCUGUGGAGCCGUGUGCCCUGCCCAUAUCUAAGUACAUGUCCUGGGAUCCAGGGGAUGACAUAUACUGGAGUCCCUGGUGCCCAUGCCUUCUGACUCCUCCUAGACCAUGAGCUGAGGGGACAGAGAGUGGCUCUUGCACCUGGGGGGCUCAGGGUGUGUACAGUGGGUGAACAAAUGGGGGGACAUUUGAGGCCCAGGCAGAAGGACACAGAAUGUUCCCUGGUGGCAGCUUAGGAGGGGGCAGGGGCUGGGCAGAGGGGGCAGUUGUGUCCUUCCCUACCUGAACCUCUUCUACUCUCUGGGUCCACCGCCAUGAAAUUAUUCAUUCUGCCACAUUCUCUUGCACCCUGGCUUUCUGUCUGAAAUCCUUUCUCUGCCCCAGUAUUCACUCUCCGACUCUUCAGCUCACUCCUCUUAAUCCUUGAGACGUUCCAGGUUACCUGCUCCCUCAGGAGCUUUGCUAACCCCAAGGUUGUGAUAACUGCUUUCUUUAGGCUCCCACAGUUGCUCGUUCUAAUCCCAACACGGUAUUUGAAGGGCUAUUUAUUUCUCUCCUGACUGGACUGUUGGGAGCUUUGUAAGGGCAAGAGCCAUCUCUUAUUUAAUGUUGUAUUCCUAGGGCCUGGUACCAGAGUAUUAGUAAAGCUUGUUGAAUGAAUAAAUGCGAUUCAGCGGUGACUUCCCAUAGAUGCUACUCCAUGUUAUUCAUGUCACUGUAAUCCAUCUUGGGCUGCAUUUCACAAGCCAGCAUUGAAGAAAGCUGGGCUCAGAGAGCCUUAGAGACCAUCAGUGGUACAGAUGAGGAAACCGAGGGCAGGCCUGGUUCUCACUGCCUCGCCUCUGGUUCUGCGACUGGAGCUCCGUGAGGACAGGAACCAGGACUUGGAUGUUGUUUUCUGGCUUGGCAGGGUGCUUUGCCUGUGAUCACAGUCAUUGCCUUUUACUAGGUGCUUAUAAGGUGCCAGCCCCUUUAUGUGUUUUUCCACGUUUGCAUAUCCACAGGGAAGGGAGGUGCAAUUAUCCCCAUUUACAGAUCAACAAACAGGUGUAGGGAGGUUAAGUAAUUUGGUUAUUUAUCAGUGUCUUCUGGUUCCUUUCAUAAAUUUAUCUGGGUUCCACUGUAGCCUCACAACAUUGUCAUCAAACCCACUUUCGGCGGUGCAGUGGCUCACACCUCUAAUCCCAGCACUUUGGGCGGCCAAGCGAGAGGAUCGCUUGAGCCCAAGAGCUCGAGACCAGCCCAGGCAACACAGAAAAACCUCAUUUCUACAAAAAAUAAAAUAAAAUAAAAAUAGCUGGGUGUGGUGGCGCGCCUGUGGUCCCAGCUCCUCGGGAGGCUGAGGUGGGAGGAUCGCUUAAACCUGGAGAGGCGGAGGUUGCAGUGAGCCGAGAUCACGCCACGGCACUCCAGCCUCGGCAACAGAGCGAGACCCUGUCACAAACGAACACUCUCCAGAGGGGGAAACCGAGGCCCUGGGACUGCAGAACCGGUUUCUCUGCCUCGGCAUACUGCCUCGGCUGGCUCUGCGCUUGAUAGAAUCGCGCCAGCAACAGCGCCCCCUGCAGGCGACGGCGGGCACGCCUGCGUCACAGCCAUCCCCGCCCUUCCGCAGUGGGAACGCCCGAAUGCUUCAUCCGGCCUCGGAAGAUUGAAGAGCGCUCCUCCAAACUGGCUCAGGGAAGCCGGGCGCGCCGCCUUCAGCCCCGCCUUGGCCGCCGCGGCGUCGCAUCAGUGGCAUCCCCAGGGGCUGCAGGAAGGUAGCCGUAGCCUUGGCUGUCGUGGCUUCCCUCAUCGUAACGGCCUGGGGGCAGCGGUGCUCAAAGAACUCAGGGGGUGGGGCUCAGGUAGGGGCAUGGCCGGUGCUCUUCCUAGGGGCGGGAUCCUGGGAAAGGGGAUCGUCCCAGAAGGACCCAGCCACAAGCGAGGACACCGGUGCAUCAAGCCCUGGCGCCUGUGUUUCCGUGAACAGCGCCCUUCUCCUCCUCCCCAGACAUUGGUCCUGGCACCUGUGUGUCCGUGGGCAGCAGCCUCUUCCUCCUCCCCAGACCUCAGUUUCUGCACGUGUGAAAAGGGGGCUCUUCCAAGACUCUUACAUGAAUGCAAAAAUCGGGAUUUCGUCCAGCAUGCUCAGAAUUGUCGACCCUACACAGGCACCUGAGAAAUCAGAGCUGAGUCAGGAGAGCCGGUGUGGAUGUACUGGGAGCUCCUUCCCUUGCUGCGUCAGCACUCUUGAGACUGGAGAGCCCUGGAGGUUGGGGACCGGCCACUUGCUGGUGGACCAGACUCCCUGCAGUCUGGGAUGGUGACAGACAUGAGACAUGGCUGUGGAAGUAAUUGGUAACAGUAGUAGCCCGCAUUUAUUGAGCACUGACUAUGUGCUUGGCUUUGUGUGAAGGCCAGUCACAUGCAUUAUUUCCCCCUCCCACAGCCUUGUCUGGUGGGUACUGCUAUUCUGUCCCCAGUUUACUGAUGAGACAUUUGAGGCCCAGAGUUGCUGGGUAGUAACCAGUCCAAAGUCACCCUGCUGACAAGUAGCUGAAGCAGUAGUCCCCAGUCUUACCUACUAUACUGUACUGAGAAAGGUUUGACCUGGAAGGCAGAAUGGCAGAGGGGGAAAUGACAAGGUUCUAGCAGUAUUAAUAAUAGAUACCAUGCAUUGAGCACCCACUAAGUGCUGGGUGCUGGCCCAAGGGCAUUUCAUGAAUCAUUUAUCCUCCUGACAGUGAACCCUAUACUGUAAAUUUUAUUUCCAUUUCAAAGGUGAAGCUCGGAGAAGUCACUUUAUAUGCCUUAGGGCACAUAUAGUAAAAAACUAACUUUUCGAUUCAUUGAUGGUGCAUUCUGCCUGCCUGCAUGUCACUCUUAGGCAUAUUCCACUCUUCUCUGAGUCAAGCUUUCUCCUACUGUGAAAUGAGAGGCUUGGACUGGGAGACUUUGAAUGUUCUUUCCCCAGCCGAUGUUGUUUGAUUUUAGGGAGUUUUGACAUGAAUGUUGGAGAUCUGGAUUUGAGGAUUACAUUUGUUCCUAAUUAACUGUAAUUUAGGCACAUCUCUGCAUCUCUGGGCUUCAGUUUCCGCAUUAGUAAAAGAAUGUCCCUGGCACAAGUUUCCAAGGAUAGACCCUCUGUGUGAAGGGGAGCAGCUGCCUUUGAGCAAUCAGCAGUAACUGCUUGGGGAGGCUUAGUCCCCUAAUAGUUCAGAAGUCACCUCCAAGGUCAGACGGACCCACAGCUGAACGCCAACACUUCCACUUCUCGGAAAGCCCAACGUGUAAACUGAUGACAGACUAUCCUGGAGGAAGAGGUGGGGCAGCCUGGAGUUUUCCUCUGGACAUCCUGAGAGGGAUACUGAAGCACUCAGGAGGGGUCUUAGACCUGCCCAAGCUCACUCACACAGUUUGAGAAGAGCUGCGCUUAGACCACAGGCCUCUUGGCUCCUGGGAAGCUGAGAGCAUCGGCGUGGGAGUUCGUCAGACAGGGGCAAGUUCCAACCGCAGCUCAGUGACCUCAGACAAGCCCCCUCACCUCGCAGAACCAGGUUCUUCUUCAGAGUUGUAGGAAGGAGUGGAGGAGGGUCUCCGCAUGUCAGAUGUCCACACAGUGCCUGGGAGCUGAGGUUGUCAUGGUUACCAAGAGGCCAGUCUCAGGGCUGCUGUGAUGACCUGGGCUGCUCUCCCAUUCCCAAGAAGGGGAGAACUCCUCAGAUUCCCUACUCUGCUCUUCUUGCUCCCUCCCAAGCAAUACAUGAGCAGGAAUUUGUCCUCUGCAGGAAUGUGCAGCGAGAAAGUCUCCUUUUUUGAUGAGACAGCGAUGAGGUGAUGUCUGGUUUUUUAUAUCCUCACUUGCUGAACUGGUGCCAGAUGUAAGAGUCCAGGCUGGAUUCCAUUAGCCAUAUUUGUCCUCUGGGCUCCCAGCCCUGCAGGACCUUCUGGGGGCCCACCUUGAGACCCUCCAGUUGGUAAGAAGUUGGCUGGGGCAAAUGAUGCAGCCCUAAGACGAACCAUUUCCACUGGGGACUCAGGCAGGGUCCCUGAGAGCCUGACUUACUCGAGUCUUUUCUUUAAAAAUUAAAAAAACAAGGCUGGGCGCGGUGGCUCACGCCUGUAAUCCC